GAAGAAGCGUCCAAACAUGAGACUUUGAACAGUAUAUAUCAUCUCCAUUGAUGAGAGCUCAAAGACGCAGAAUCUCUCGCCAAUGCUCGUGAGGGAAGCGCAGGAGAUGUGCUUUAAGACCCUAAUGUGGAAGGAAUUUUGAAGAACAUAGUCCUAGAUGAAGAAGAAGAAGAAGAAGGCGAGGAUUGAGGACGGUCUCUACGAAACCAGCUCCACGUAGACCGCAGAAAUGAUGGGAGUAUGAUCUUAUUCUUUGAUGAAGUGAGUGGGGGACUGACUGUCCAGACCCAAUGUCGCCCUUGCCCUUCCCGUCGUCUUCUUCGGCAGCAGCGUCUGGUGGAUGAUGGGCAAGACGCCGCCGUUGGCGAUGGCCACCGAGCCCAGGAACAUGCUCAGCUCCUGUUCUUCUUGUUGUCCCUCGCCGCAUUCCCAGCUAGCUCCAGCACCUGGAUCGACGCAACAAAGUCAAUCGAGAGUUGCGGACACUGCGGAGGACACUGUCGACUUUAUCUUGAGAAAUGAGUGUGGUUCUCAACACAAAAGACGCAUUUUUCUUUUUGUGGUUUCUGAACAUUAUCAAUUCUUUGGAAUCCGACACAAUCUUCCCAUGAUGUGUUUUGCCAUAUCUUAAUUAGUGACUAUUAGUCGCUAGUCUUCAGUGUAUUUAUCUUAUUGCGUUUCACAUAUGUCGUUCCCCAAAGGCAGCCAGCAUCCCAUUUGAAUCAAGUAGAAUUAAAGGAAUAAUUUAUGGUUCUUCUUGCUCUUUUCUCAACCUAUGCAAUGUCAAUUACAUACUUGAUUUUUGGGAGAUGUCCCAAUCUUCCUUCUUACAUGUAUAUGCGAUGUGACAUAAUUGGGACAAUUUUUCAUAAAUGUCGGCAUAUCAUGUUU